ACGGCUCAGUAACACGUGGACAACCUACCCUGAGGUCGGGGAUAAACCCGGGAAACUGGGUAUAAUACCCGAUAGAUCUAGAUCGCUGGAAUGCUUUUAGGUCUAAAGUUCCGACGCCUCAGGAUGGGUCUGCGGCCUAUCAGGGUAGUAGUGGGUGUAAAGUACCUACUAGCCUACGACGGGUACGGGUUGUGAGAGCAAGAGCCCGGAGAUGGAUUCUGAGACACGAAUCCAGGCCCUACGGGGUGCAGCAGGCGCGAAACCUUUACAAUGCUGGCAACAGCGAUAAGGGGACCUCGAGUGCUACGAUACAAUCGUGGCUGUCUAGUUGCCUAAAAAGCAAUUGAUAGCAAGGGCCGGGCAAGACCGGUGCCAGCCGCCGCGGUAACACCGGCGGCUCGAGUGGUAACCGCUAUUAUUGGGUCUAAAGGGUCUGUAGCCGGCUUAGUUAGUCUCUUGAGAAAUCUGGCCGCUCAACGGUCAGGCGUUCAGGGGAUACUGCUAAAGCUCGAGACCGGGAGAGGUGAGAGGUACUUCAGGGGUAGGGGUGAAAUCUUGUAAUCCUUGAAGGACCACCAGUGGCGAAGGCGUCUCACCAGAACGGAUCUGACGGCAAGGGACGAAAGCUAGGGGCACGAACCGGAUUAGAUACCCGGGUAGUCCUAGCCGUAAACGAUACUCGCCAGGUGUCGGCCACGGUGCGACCGUGGUCGGUGCCGUAGGGAAGCCGUGAAGCGAGCCACCUGGGAAGUACGGCCGCAAGGCUGAAACUUAAAGGAAUUGGCGGGGGAGCAC
rnacentral:rRNA from 1 species